UAUAAAUGAAUUGAUUGCUUAUAUUGAAUCUGUUGAGAAUAAUAUACUUUAUGGAAUUGGACUUGUCGUCGUCAUGAUGGCAGCGAAUGUAGUCAGAGCUGGAACCUUUUGUGUUAUCGUUAUGUUUGGUGCUCAAACAGGUAUAAGGUUCAGGGCUGGAUUUCUUGGAUUGGCAUACCGAAAACUCCUCAGACUUCAAAAAAUAAAAGGAAAGAGUUUAGCCGAGCUUAUCAACAUAUUUGGAGGUGAUGCUAUCCGUGUGUACGUGAACUGUGUGACUUUUGUAUACAUUAUUGCUCUACCAAUAUACAUGAUUAUCGGUGCUGGAUAUACAUAUUACCUGCUAGGACCUUGGUGUUUCAUUGCAAUGGGAAUAUUUGUGUUGUGCUAUUUACUCCAGGGAGUGUUGACAAAAGGCGUCGAAAUAAUGCGUAUAAAAACGCUUCAGCAGACGGACAAACGUGU